rnacentral:rRNA from 1 species
CGCGUAGGCGGAUGUUACAGUCAGGCGUGAAAUUCCUGGGCUCAACCUGGGAGCUGCGUUUGAUACGUGAUGUCUGGAGUUCGGAAGAGGGUCGUGGAAUUCCCAGUGUAGAGGUGAAAUUCGUAGAUAUUGGGAAGAACACCGGUGGCGAAGGCGGCGACCUGGUCCGAUACUGACGCUGAGGCGCGAAAGCGUGGGGAGCAAACAGGAUUAGAUACCCUGGUAGUCCACGCUGUAAACGAUGUGCGCUGGAUGUUGGGUGACAUAGUCAUUCAGUGUCGUAGCUAACGCGAUAAGCGCACCGCCUGGGGAGUACGGCCGCAAGGUUGAA